rnacentral:rRNA from 1 species
UGUUUGAUGUUCUAACGUUGGCCCGUAAUCCGGGUUGCGGACAGUGUCUGGUGGGUAGUUUGACUGGGGCGGUCUCCUCCUAAAGAGUAACGGAGGAGCACGAAGGUUGGCUAAUCCUGGUCGGACAUCAGGAGGUUAGUGCAAUGGCAUAAGCCAGCUUGACUGCGAGCGUGACGGCGCGAGCAGGUGCGAAAGCAGGUCAUAGUGAUCCGGUGGUUCUGAAUGGAAGGGCCAUCGCUCAACGGAUAAAAGGUACUCCGGGGAUAACAGGCUGAUACCGCCCAAGAGUUCAUAUCGACGGCGGUGUUUGGCACCUCGAUGUCGGCUCAUCACAUCCUGGGGCUGAAGUAGGUCCCAAGGGUAUGGCUGUUCGCCAUUUAAAGUGGUACGCGAGCUGGGUUUAGAACGUCGUGAGACAGUUCGGUCCCUAUCUGCCGUGGGCGCUGGAGAACUGAGGGGGGCUGCUCCUAGUACGAGAGGACCGGAGUGGACGCAUCACUGGUGUUCGGGUUGUCAUGCCAAUGGCACUGCCCGGUAGCUAAAUGCGGAAGAGAUAAGUGCUGAAAGCAUCUAAGCACGAAACUUGCCCCGAGAUGAGUUCUCCCUGAGACUUAGAGUCUCCUGAAGGAACGUUGAAGACGACGACGUUGAUAGGCCGGGUGUGUAAGCGCAGCGAUGCGUUGAGCUAACCGGUACUAAUGAACCGUGAGGCUUAACCUU